rnacentral:lncRNA from 10 species
GGGGUCAGAGAGGCAUGGUCAAGGGCUUGUGGAGGGAGGUGCAGUGGGGUCUGGCCGAACCUCACAGAAGGGCCCCCGCUAGCCACACCCCCCGUGGUGGGACGACUCUGCUCUCUGGCUGGACAGGACCUGCUGGAGCCACCUGAGUGGCCACAGUGGUCACUGAGCAAACCUCAGACACCCAGGGAGCUGCAGCAUGGGCACCCCGAUGAGCACAGGCCAGCCCCUCCUCCCCACCCGCUGCACUGGACAGACUGCUGGAGGUCUGGGGCCAAGGCAUGGAAGGAACGGGGAAGAUGGUGUCCUGAGGGCCAAGGACAGGGAGGAAACAGCCCCUCCUAGAACCCUCAGCACCGGCCGACUUCACUGCUGAGUGACCCGGAGCAAAACCCUCUGUGUCUCAGAGCCUCACUUCCUGCCUCACAAUGGUCAGGUAGGUUGCCCGAGGCAGAUGCACGAUUCCAAGUCACUUUGGCAGUUUUUAAUGUGGAGAAGGCUCUUUCUGCAGAGGGAACGUUGCGGAGCUGCUGGGAGUGUCUCAUAGGCUGUGGCGACCUGGGAAGCUGCUCUGCGGAGCCACCGGAGGCGCAGAUUUCAGCACAUCGAGAGCAGAUGAGCGGCUAGUCCCAAAACUGUCCGCGCUUCAGACAGAUGACUUUCGCAGAAGUUUGAGUGUGCUUGUAGAUGCAAAUCUAUCGUGAUUAUGUUUCCUCGGACGUUUCCUGUGCUUGUGGAGCUCAUAGGAGAGACUGAAGGUGAAUUCACGAUUGCACACAACUUACAACAUCUGUUUGUGGAUUCCAUCAGUGUAUCUUCAACUGUAAGAAAAAUUAAUUUCAAAACUUCUGCAUUAAUACCUGGAUACUCCAACAUCUUAUAGGAAAAUUGUGCUUGUUUCUGUCCAAUGCAGUGGCCCUUGCUUCAGGGUUUGUGGAUUUUGCUGAGAAUUUCGAGAUUGUCAGAAAGAGAUUCUAAGCUGGAGUAAUUCUAACAGCUUCCUGGUUAUGUUACUGGGAUAAGGCUGUGUCUGCUCCUCCCAUGCUCAGUUACUGAUACAGUUACUGCCUGAGCACCGGGACCUCCACUCCUGGAAGGAUCUGUGCAGAGGCUGCAGGCACUGGUGGCAAAACAGACACACCUCCGGCACCCAGGGGCCUCGUGCUGCCACCGGAGGAGGAUCCCCUCUCCUUCCUGGGGCUCCAACCCCUGCUGCUGCUUCUGCUGCCAUGUGACACCCAGGCAUGGCCAGGCCCCC